GCAGAUGAUGGAGUUCUGGUUCCAGUAGAACCGGGUCUACCGGACCAUCAGGAGGGAAAACAGCCCAUAACAUGACAGAACUGAUUAAUUUACUAAUCAUUUAUUAACAACAUAUGUCUGUAUUUGACUCAUGUGACUUAGAAUCAAGUCAGACUUAAAUCACAAAUUGAAUCGAUUUGCAUUCGACUUGAUAAAAUGAAAAGACUUUGGACUGAACUUUGACCUCCACACAUAAACUGGUGACAUUAUGUGAACUUUAACUGUUCUAACUUGAUAUUUCACACCAGGUUCCUCCGUCUGUCUCUCUCUGCUGUCCUGCAGCCCAAACGAAUGGCUCCUCAGCUUCAUCAGACGUGAUGGGAUGUAACUCCAUCCUUUGAUUCAGGAGGAUGGAGUCCUGCAUGAGGAUGCAGUCAUAUAUUGACUGCAUCCUCAUGCAGCAGUCAGUACAUGAGGAUGAUUGACAGCGCUAAGCCCCGCCCCGAGCCUCCACCAGGCUCUUCUCUUCAGGUGUCACUUCCUUAAUCAGAGCCGCGGCGGCGUCUCAGCGGGUCAGCCAGGAGGAAGAGUCUGAUUGGAUCAGGAGUAUCGACCAGCUGUCCUCUGAUCUGUUUUACAGUCCGACUCCUCCACAGCACGGUUUCCAGGUUUUCCAGUCUGCCUGCCAACUAAUUACAGUUAAUUACUGUCCAGGCUGCUCUGCAUUCAUCUCCCUCAGUCUGCAGGAGGAAUGUGGGAAAGGUGCUGCAGACGCUGACAGAUAAACACUGACUCACAUUUAAAGUUUUCCCUCCUGGUCCGUUGGUGGAGUCAAACCGUGACUCUGGUAAUGUGAUCAUCUUUUCUGCCUAAUGAAUGGAGCAGAACUACUUCCUGUGACGCUGACAUGGUGAUUCCAGUGGUUAGGGGGCGAGCGCUGAGUUCAGCCACAGACGAUGAAGCGUUUAUUCCAGCCGCUGAGUGACUCAGCUCUCUGCCGCCGAUGUUAUUAAAGCAGCAGAAUCAAUAUUGAGUCUUGAUUGGUCCGACAUGAUGAAUGCUGAUUCGGUCCAGGACUUCUGAUUGUAAAGCAAACUGCAACCAGAAUGAGAAACUGGAGACGAGAGGUAGACGGUUUUAGGAUCUGCAGCUGAAACUAAACAUUAACUUUCACUAAACAUGUUUCUUUUCUACACUUGUGAAUUCAAAUCAGACAAAACCUUUUCUGUUUUAGAAAGAUAUUAAUGCAAGAGUAAUGAACAUUAAAAAUGUUCCUUUAAACAUUUAUUUCCUUUGUAUUUGGUAUAAUUACAGGGCCUGUAAUAAAUUAAUCACAAUUUAAUUGAAAAACUCAUGCUUAUGCUGCUAAAUUAUAGAAAAGACAUCUGGGCUUAAGAACAAAGAUAUUUACUGUUUUAAUCUAUUAUUUAUAUUAUUAAACCAUCAUAUUGAAGCAAAGUGUUAUUCUAUCCAUUAAGCUGUUCAGUGUUUCAGAAAUAACUGAUGAUUCAUGGAGCUUCUUUAGAAAUAUGGACCAUUGAUGUUAGCAUUAGCUGCUACAUGUUUAGCAUUUAGAUGAUAGUUUAGACUUGAAUGGAUUCACUGAUGUGCUAACACAACAAUUGUCUUUCCCAGCGUCCAAUCAGAUCCGUUUAGAAGCAGAAAUUAACUCCAAGUGGGCCGAGAGAAGCGGCUCCGUCUUCCUUCACCGUUAGCGGUUUUUUUUCUUGUGCGUCAGAUUUAUGGUUGUACCAGAAACGUGAAUACAAAGGUUCCGGAUUGGGACUUUUGAAUGUAAAAGAAAAAUAAGUGAUUAACUGCGCUAAAAUCUUUAAUGUGUUCAAAUCUACGUAAUUAAGAAAUCAAAUUUAACAUGUUAAAACCCCGGCUGUGGUUUAUGCAGAUGUUCAUAAGUAAAUUUUCCAAGUCAAGUCACUGACUGUUUGGAUUCUUAAUCCAAAUGGUCCAGGUUAUUACCUAAAGACAAAUACUUAUCUUAGUACUUAUCUUAGGCUAUUUGUUCUUUGACCAAACUUACAUUAACAUUUUAUUAUUAUCUUUAAAUCUCUUAAUUUUUAUGAAUAAUUAUGUCUUAACCUUCUAAUAUUCAGAAUGCAAAAAAUGACAAAAAAAAGUUUAUGUUUAUAUUAUUUUGUAAACUGAUCAAAUAUAAUAUUUACCCUAUUGGAAAUACAAACAGGCAUUUUGUUUCUUGCUACUUAUUACAUGACAUAAAAAUUGGUGCUUAGAUUCGAGUCUCUCGCUACGAGUCCAAGUCAAAUCUCAAGUCUUUCGGGAACAAGUCGAGUCUGAAGAGUUUUAUUUUUACAGGUGGAGACUAAGGAGUGCCAUGGCUCUCUCAUAAUGAGGUUGUUUUGAGUAAAAGCAGUAAGAUUAGGUCUAUAUCUUCUUUUUUUAGUUUUGGGAAAACAUCCUGAUCCAAAAAGAAUCUCACGCUGGUCUCUCUAAUUGGGUUGAUGUCUCUCAUUGGUUGUGGGUUCGACUCCGCACAUCCUGCUGUUCUUCCUUCAUCCACUGAUGUUUACAUGGAGCCUUACAGCAGGAUGAUCUGCUGGGGAACAAUCCUCUCUUCUGUGAUCAGAGCCAGCAGCACGCUUAAUGAGGCAGCGGCGGCGCCAUCAGCGGACUCCCGCAGACACAAGUGGCUCUGAAUCAGUGGGACAAACAAGUCUGAAACCGCCGGUGAUGUUUCAUGAGAAAGUUGAUUCAUGCUGUAAUUAACGACACAUAGAUGACCUUCCAACAUUUCCAUGACGCCUGCGCUUCAGCAGUUUGCGGUUCGCUCUUGAACUUGACCACAUAGAGAGGCUGUUUGCCUCAGACGUCGGAUUAAUGUGCAAAUUCAUCCGGAAGAAACACAACAUCAUGAUGUCAAGAUCAGUGUGGAGCUGCAUGACAGUUUCUUUAUAAAAACUGAAGAAAAAAGUGAA